rnacentral:lncRNA from 1 species
CGUGGUCGUGCUCAUCGCCCCCUUGUCAAGCUUCGUUCCGACCCGGAGCUGCCCUGCGGGGCUGAAGCAGAGGGAGGAUGCCUCCAUCUCGCUUGGCGCCGUCGCCAUCACCGUCGCCGCCUCCCAGGUGCAGAUGUGGUCGCUGGGCCUGAUCUCCGACCGCACCACCCAGUUUGACAGCAGCCUCAUCCCCGCCGCCGCCUCCCAGGUGCAGAUGUAUGCGCGAGUCGAUGCGGAGCAAACGGGUGAUGUGCGCAUCCGGGAAGCCGUGCCGUCGAAGGAGGGAGAGGACCGCCUCGGCCCUGUCGCUGGAGCAGAUGCGGAAGUGGA